rnacentral:rRNA from 1 species
GACGAACGCUGGCGGCGUGCUUAACACAUGCAAGUCGAACGGAAAGGCCCUGCUUUUGUGGGGUGCUCGAGUGGCGAACGGGUGAGUAACACGUGAGUAACCUGCCCUUGACUUUGGGAUAACUUCAGGAAACUGGGGCUAAUACCGGAUAGGAGCUCCUGCUGCAUGGUGGGGGUUGGAAAGUUUCGGCGGUUGGGGAUGGACUCGCGGCUUAUCAGCUUGUUGGUGGGGUAGUGGCUUACCAAGGCUUUGACGGGUAGCCGGCCUGGGAGGGUGACCGGCCAAAUUGGGACUGAGAUACGGCCCAGACUCCUACGGGAGGCAGCAGUGGGGAAUAUUGCAUAAUGGGCGGAAGCCUGAUGCAGCAACGCCGCGUGCGGGAUGACGGCCUUCGGGUUGUAAACCGCUUUCGCCUGUGACGAAGCGUGAGUGACGGUAAUGGGUAAAGAAGCACCGGCUAACUACGUG